rnacentral:rRNA from 1 species
UACGUAGGGGGCAAGCGUUGUCCGGAAUCAUUGGGCGUAAAGCGCGUGUAGGCGGCUUCGUAAGUCCGUUGUGAAAGUCCAGGGCUCAACCCUGGAAUGCCGAUGGAUACUGCGGAGCUAGAGUCCGGAAGAGGCGAGUGGAAUUCCUGGUGUAGCGGUGAAAUGCGCAGAUAUCAGGAGGAACACCAACGGCGAAGGCAGCACUCUGGGCCGGUACUGACGCUGAGGAGCGAAAGCGUGGGGAGCAAACAGG